GACGAACGCUGGCGGCGUGCUUAACACAUGCAAGUCGAACGGAAAGGCCCUGCCUUUGUGGGCUGCUCGAGUGGCGAACGGGUGAGUAACACGUGAGUAACCUGCCCUUGACUUUGGGAUAACUUCAGGAAACUGGGGCUAAUACCGGAUAGGAGCUCCUGUUGCAUGGAGGGGGUUGGAAAGUUUCGGCGGUUGGGGUAGGAGUCGCGGCUUAUCAGCUUGUUGGUGGGGUAGUGGCUUACCAAGGCUUUGACGGGUAGCCGGCCUGAGAGGGUGACCGGCCACAGUGGGACUGAGAUACGGCCCAUACGCCUACGGGAGGCAGAGGUGGGGAAUAGUGCAAAAUGGGCGGGAGCCGGAUGCAGCAACGCCGCGUGCGGAAUGACGGCCUUCGGGUUGGAAACCGCUUUCGCCUGUGACGAAGAGUGAGUGACGGUAAUGGGUAAAAAAGCACCGGCUAACUACGUG
rnacentral:rRNA from 1 species